GGGGCUAAUACCGGAUAAUAUUUUGAACUGCAUGGUUCGAAAUUGAAAGGCGGCUUCGGCUGUCACUUAUGGAUGGACCCGCGUCGCAUUAGCUAGUUGGUGAGGUAACGGCUCACCAAGGCAACGAUGCGUAGCCGACCUGAGAGGGUGAUCGGCCACACUGGGACUGAGACACGGCCCAGACUCCUACGGGAGGCAGCAGUAGGGAAUCUUCCGCAAUGGACGAAAGUCUGACGGAGCAACGCCGCGUGAGUGAUGAAGGCUUUCGGGUCGUAAAACUCUGUUGUUAGGGAAGAACAAGUGCUAGUUGAAUAAGCUGGCACCUUGACGGUACCUAACCAGAAAGCCACGGCUAACUACGUGCCAGCAGCCGCGGUAAUACGUAGGUGGCAAGCGUUAUCCGGAAUUAUUGGGCGUAAAGCGCGCGCAGGUGGUUUCUUAAGUCUGAUGUGAAAGCCCACGGCUCAACCGUGGAGGGUCAUUGGAAACUGGGAGACUUGAGUGCAGAAGAGGAAAGUGGAAUUCCAUGUGUAGCGGUGAAAUGCGUAGAGAUAUGGAGGAACACCAGUGGCGAAGGCGACUUUCUGGUCUGUAACUGACACUGAGGCGCGAAAGCGUGGGGAGCAAACAGGAUUAGAUACCCU
rnacentral:rRNA from 1 species